rnacentral:rRNA from 1 species
AUACGUAGGGUGCGAGCGUUGUCCGGAAUUACUGGGCGUAAAGAGCUCGUAGGUGGUUUGUCGCGUCGUCUGUGAAAUUCCGGGGCUUAACUCCGGGCGUGCAGGCGAUACGGGCAUAACUUGAGUACUGUAGGGGAGACUGGAAUUCCUGGUGUAGCGGUGAAAUGCGCAGAUAUCAGGAGGAACACCGGUGGCGAAGGCGGGUCUCUGGGCAGUAACGGACGCUGAGGAGCGAAAGCAUGGGUAGCGAACAGGAUUAGAUACCCUGGUUGUCCAUGCCGUAAACGGUGGGCGCUAGGUGUAGGGGUCUUCCACGACUUCUGUGCCGUAGCUAACGCAUUAAGCGCCCCGCCUGGGGAGUACGGCCGCAAGGCUAAAACCUAAAGGAAUUGGCGGGG